rnacentral:rRNA from 1 species
GACAGAGGGUGCAAACGUUGCUCGGAAUUACUGGGCGUAAAGCGCACGUAGGCGGGUCGUUAAGUCAGGGGUGAAAUCCCGGAGCUCAACUCCGGAACUGCCUUUGAUACUGGCGACCUUGAGGCUGGAAGAGGUUAGUGGAAUUCCCAGUGUAGAGGUGAAAUUCGUAGAUAUUGGGAAGAACACCAGUGGCGAAGGCGGCUAACUGGUCCAGAUCUGACGCUGAGGUGGCGAAAAGCGGUGGGGAGCAAACAGGG